rnacentral:misc_RNA from 1 species
GAUGAAGAACGCAGCGAAAUGCGAUAAGUAGUGUGAAUUGCAGAAUUCAGUGAAUCAUCGAAUCUUUGAACGCACAUUGCGCCCCUUGGUAUUCCAUGGGGCAUGCCUGUUCGAGCGUCAUUUGUACCCUCAAGCUUUGCUUGGUGUUGGGCGUCUUGUCGUAUUACGACUCGCCUUAAAUACAUUGGCAGCCGGCACUUUGGCCUAGGAGCGCAGCACAUUUUGCGAUCGUAGCCCGUUGUACUGGCGUCCAUCAAGAACAUUUACCACGUUUGACCUCAGGUCAGGCGGGGCUACCCGCUGAGUUUAAGCAUAUCAAUAAGCGGAGGA